ensembl:processed_transcript
AUGAGCGAGAUCAGUGAAGCGUCCUUACUGGAUUAUAUCCGCUCCUCAGGAGGAAAAGUCAAAAAUUCUGAUCUGUCCAAAACAUAUAAGCAUUUCAUAAACCAUAGCGAUUUGCAACUACGUGCCAAAUACAGAGAAGAGUUCAAGCUCAUCAUUGAUAGAAUUGCAGUGGUGAAAUCGGAGAAUGGGGAGAAAUAUCUCAUCCUCAAGAAGAAAUACAGGCAAGAGCAAGUGUCUGGCACUAAAAAGGGAGGUGAAUCAAUCAAGCCGCUUCAUCCAAACCCACAAAAUGAGCUCCUGGUUUCCAACCCAAUGCAGAACCGUAGCCAAGCAGCUAAGACCCCGCAGCCAGUGAUGGUGGCCUGGUGCUCAGGACCCAUGAUUACAGUCACAGACGCACAAGAGCCCACGGAUAUUGAUGAUCUGGAUCCUCUUGAGAAAGAGUGGAUUUUCUCGGCAGCGAGUGGCAAACUGUGCCAUCUCACUCAGCUUCUAAAACAAGACUCCUCCCUGGCCAAUAAAAAGGUGCGAAGAACAGCGUUACAUUGGGCUGCAAAACAUGGUAAAGAAGACAUGACCACAGCGUUGGUAGAGGCAGGAGCAGACAUCAAUACGAAAGCAGGAUACACACCUUUACACAUCGCAGCGCUACAUGGACAUCGGCAUAUAGUGGACCUGCUGGUCAGGACAUAUGGAGCGAAGGAGAACCUGCGGGACUACAGUGGCCGCUUACCAUAUUAUUACCUCAAUUUACGGGACACACACUCAGAAGAGCACGACCUCUGUGAGUUAAACUCAACUCUUGUUUUUCUGCCCGGCGAGCGCAGGAACAGGAAGAUCAGCUCUUUAUUUCAGUCCAUGAAGAGGUGGGGUUCGGCGGAGGAGCUGGCGCCCGUCCCGGAGGAGAGAACUGUCCCGCAUCAACUCAUGCUGCCUGCUUUCAGACCUCGAAAGUUUUCACGGUAG